ACUUGAAUAGCUUAUAGUUUAGAGCACGACAUUGAAGAUGUCGGUGAGGUAUUUAUACCUUUAGGUG
rnacentral:tRNA from 1 species